rnacentral:rRNA from 1 species
UCCCGCAACGAGCGCAACCCUUAUUACUAGUUGCCAGCAUUCAGUUGGGCACUCUAGUGAGACUGCCGGUGACAAACCGGAAGAAAGGUGGGGACAACGUCAAAUCAUCAUGCCCCUUAUGACCUGGGCUACACACUUGCUACAAUGGAAGGGUACAACGAGUCCGCGAAACCCGCGAGGUUUAGCUAAUCUCUUAAAACCAUUUCCAGUUCGG